rnacentral:lncRNA from 1 species
AGUAAUGCCUGCUGCUUUUAAGACCUAGUGCUGUUACUUUAUCUGUCUAUGGGGUUUUGUUACAGUAUGAAAUAUGUAAUACACAGUCCUUAUCCUUAGGGAAGGAACAAAAGACGGGGAACAAACGACGUCUGUAUAUGAAGAAAUGACAGAUGACCAUGGAUUAAGUGCCAACCUUGAUGAUUUACACAAGAAGGCCAAAGCAACUCAAGGAAGAGUGAGACCCCUAGAAUCUUUCAUGGAGGCCCCACGAUUGAUACAGAGGACUGUCAUAUGAACCAGAGAGGGUACCUGAAACCAAAGAGAGGACUCUAGUGUGUAGCCAAAGGCAUGCCUCCAGGGGUGAGAAGGAGCAGAUAUCUUGACAAACAGGGCAUCAGACCAGCUGUGCAUGGUCAGCCUCUGAUUUGGGCCCAAAAGGAAAAGAAAAUCAGAGGAGACAGUGACUCUCAGACUCUUCCUUGUUAAUGAGCAAGAGUUCCCUGGAUCCAAGAGGCCUUUGCCUUCUGGCUUGCAGCUUCACAUUUGCAAGGUGGCUGCUGCACAUCUAACCUUUACACCCACAUUCCAGGCAGGAAUACUUGGAAAGAAUAAGGGUAAGUGAUUCUCUCCUAGUGAGAAAUUUCUCCUUUGCUAUUUAUUCAGAAAGGCAUGUUUUCCUUCACAUUGGUCAAAUGAGAAAGUUGAGAAAUGGAAAAGUUGAGCUUUUUAGCCUAUUUGACAAAGGAAGUCAAGGGCAUGGGAAACUGUGGAUUGUGUAGGGGUAUAUAGUCCAUAGAGUCUGCCACAGUGUGUCUCCCCAGAAACACACACACACACACACACAAACAGCUUUGCCAGGUAAUUCCAGGGAGUUUCUCUAAGUGGGAAGUACGAGGGGAGCCACUCAGUAGGGCCAAACUGAAAAGAGCAGCUCCAGCGGAUUCUCAGCUCAGCCCAAAGCCAGGGAGCAUGAGAGAAGCAAUUGGUGGGGAGAAGAUAGAAGUCAAAAGAUAAAGUGAAACUCUGUGAGUGGGAGGGUAGAGAAAGCCGAGUGGCAUUGAAGGCUAUAAGCACCAGACAUGGUACUAACAGUGAAAAAGACAUACAGU